CAUUAUACGGCGAAACUGCGAAUGGCUCAUUAUAUAAGUUAUCGUUUAUUUGAUAGCACUUUACUACUUGGAUAACCGUGGUAAUUCUAGAGCUAAUACAUGCUAAAAAUCCCGACUUCGGAAGGGAUGUAUUUAUUAGAUUAAAAGCCAAUGCCCUCUGGGCUCUCUGGUGAAUCAUGAUAACUGCUCGAAUCGCAGGGCCUCGUGCCGGCGAUGGUUCAUUCAAAUUUCUUCCCUAUCAACUUUCGAUGUUUGGGUAUUGGCCAAACAUGGUUACAACGGGUAACGGAGGGUUAGGGCUCGACCCCGGAGAAGGAGCCUGAGAAACGGCUACUACAUCCAAGGAAGGCAGCAGGCGCGCAAAUUACCCAAUCCCGACACGGGGAGGUAGUGACAAUAAAUACUGAUACAGGGCUCUUUCGGGUCUUGUAAUUGGAAUGAGUACAAUUUAAAUCCCUUAACAAGGAACAAUUGGAGGGCAAGUCUGGUGCCAGCAGCCGCGGUAAUUCCAGCUCCAAUAGCGUAUAUUAAAGUUGUUGUGGUUAAAAAGCUCGUAGUUGACCCUUGGGCCUGGCUGGCCGGUCCGCCUCACCGCGUGUACUGGUCCGGCCGGGCCUUUCCCUCUGUGGAACCCCAUGCCCUUCACUGGGCGUGGCGGGGAAACAGGACUUUUACUUUGAAAAAAUUAGAGUGCUCCAGGCAGGCCUAUGCUCGAAUACAUUAGCAUGGAAUAAUAGAAUAGGACGUGCGGUUCUAUUUUGUUGGUUUCUAGGACCGCCGUAAUGAUUAAUAGGGACAGUCGGGGGCAUCAGUAUUCAAUUGUCAGAGGUGAAAUUCUUGGAUCUAUUGAAGACUAACUACUGCGAAAGCAUUUGCCAAGGAUGUUUUCAUUAAUCAAGAACGAAAGUUAGGGGAUCGAAGACGAUCAGAUACCGUCGUAGUCCUGACCGUAAACUAUGCCGACUAGGGAUCGGACGAUGUUAUUUUUUGACUCGUUCGGCACCUUACGAGAAAUCAAAGUG
rnacentral:rRNA from 1 species